rnacentral:misc_RNA from 1 species
UUUGGCCCUUACUGAUUUAUGUAUAAAUUUAUGCCAAUCAACCCAUGCAUAAGGAAAAAGCAAAAAACUGGAGCUAAGUUAUUUUAUCACCAUUGAUUUUCUAAAAUUUGUAUGGUGCUUUCAGUAAAUUGUACUUCAUUUCAACUCAAACUUUGUUUGAUAGCUUGCUCUCAGAACCUGUAGGUGGGUGGUGGGGGGAGGAGGUGUUCUAGCUUGACAAUAGGAUGUCUUGUGUGUUUCCUAACAUAG